rnacentral:rRNA from 1 species
UACGUAGGGUGCGAGCGUUACUCGGAAUUACUGGGCGUAAAGCGUGCGCAGGCGGUUUGGUGUGUUGGCGGUGAAAGCCCCGGGCUUAACCUGGGAAUGGCCGUUGAAACUGGCGAACUGGAGUGUGGCAGAGGGGGGUGGAAUUCCGCGUGUAGCAGUGAAAUGCGUAGAGAUGCGGAGGAACACCGAUGGCGAAGGCAGCCCCCUGGGCUAACACUGACGCUCAGGCACGAAAGCGUGGGGAGCAAACAGG